UUAUGUUAACUUUCAACAUAC
rnacentral:siRNA from 1 species